UCCUCUGUGAUGUAGUGGUAGCACGCGCCCCCGGGAUGAGUGAAACGCGGGUUCAACUCCUGCCUGAGGUCUAA